rnacentral:rRNA from 1 species
GGACUACCCGGGUUUCUAAUCCUGUUUGCUCCCCACGCUUUCGUGCAUGAGCGUCAGUGUUAGCCCAGGGGGCUGCCUUCGCCAUCGGUGUUCCUCCACAUCUCUACGCAUUUCACUGCUACACGUGGAAUUCCACCCCCCUCUGCCACACUCAAGCCUGCCAGUUAGAAGCGCAGUUCCCAGGUUAAGCCCGGGGAUUUCACACCUCUCUUAGCAGACCGCCUGCGCACGCUUUACGCCCAGUAAUUCCGAUUAACGCCUGCACCCUACGUAUUACCGCGGCUGCUGGCAC